CUUAAGCAUAUCAAUAAGCGGAGGAAAAGAAACCAACAGGGAUUGCCCUAGUAACGGCGAGUGAAGCGGCAACAGCUCAAAUUUGAAAUCUGGCUCUUUCAGAGUCCGAGUUGUAAUUUGCAGAGGGCGCUUUGGCGUUGGGAGCGGUCCAAGUUCUUUGGAACAGGACGUCACAGAGGGUGAGAAUCCCGUACGUGGUCGCUAUCCUUCGCCGUGUAAAGCCCCUUCGACGAGUCGAGUUGUUUGGGAAUGCAGCUCUAAAUGGGAGGUAAAUUUCUUCUAAAGCUAAAUACUGGCCAGAGACCGAUAGCGCACAAGUAGAGUGAUCGAAAGAUGAAAAGCACUUUGGAAAGAGAGUCAAAUAGCACGUGAAAUUGUUGAAAGGGAAGCGCUUGCAGCCAGACUUGCCUGUAGUUGCUUAUCUGGACUUUUGUCCAGUGCACUCUUCUGCGGGCAGGCCAGCAUCAGUUUGGGCGGUUGGAUAAAGGUCUCUGUCAUGUACCUCCUUUCGGGGAGGCCUUAUAGGGGAGACGACAUGCAACCAGCCUGGACUGAGGUCCGCGCAUCUGCUAGGAUGCUGGCGUAAUGGCUGUAAGCGGCCCGUCUUGAAACACGGACCAAGGAGUCUAACAUCUAUGCGAGUGUUUGGGUGUCAAGCCCAGACGCGUAAUGAAAGUGAACGGAGGUGGGAACCUUUUAGGUGCACCAUCGACCGAUCCUGAUGUCUUCGGAAGGAUUUGAGUAAGAGCAUAGCUGUUGGGACCCGAAAGAUGGUGAACUAUGCUUGAAUAGGGUGAAGCCAGAGGAAACUCUGGUGGAGGCUCGCAGCGGUUCUGACGUGCAAAUCGAUCGUCAAA
rnacentral:rRNA from 1 species